rnacentral:rRNA from 1 species
GACGAACCGUCCAAACGUUAUUCGGAAUCACUGGGCUUACAGAGUUCGUAGGCGGUCCCAAAAGUUAGGUGUGAAAUCCCUCGGCUCAACCGAGGAACUGCGCUUAAAACUGUGGGACUCGAGGGAGAUAGAGGAAAGCGGAACUGAUGGUGGAGCGGUGAAAUGCGUUGAUAUCAUCAGGAACACCGGUGGCGAAGGCGGCUUUCUGGGUCUUACCUGACGCUGAGGAACGAAAGCGUGGGGAGCGAACAGG